GAGAGCCAGAGGCUGAACCGGACACUUGAGUCUAAAAGGCAGGAAAAUGAGAAGUUAACAACAGAAUGCCGGGAGCUGCGUCGGAACCUGGAGUCAAAGGAGAAUGAGAUCAAGCAGCUGAAAUCAG